GACGGGGGGGGGGGCAAGUGUUCUUCGGAAUGACUGGGAGUAAAGGGCACGUAGGCGGUGAAUCGGGUUGAAAGUGAAAGUCGCCAAAAAGUGGCGGAAUGCUCUCGAAACCAAUUCACUUGAGUGAGACAGAGGAGAGUGGAAUUUCGUGUGUAGGGGUGAAAUCCGUAGAUCUACGAAGGAACGCCAAAAGCGAAGGCAGCUCUCUGGGUCCCUACCGAUGCUGGGGUGCGAAAGCAAGGGGAGCGAACAGG
rnacentral:rRNA from 1 species